rnacentral:lncRNA from 1 species
UAGAACGGGAAUCAGAAAAGGCUUCAUUGGAGAUGUUGUAUGGAAUUUCCUGCAGCGGUGGCUCCGGACUUUUCCCACAUUUUUCGACCAAUUAGCCUGUCUUUUUGCUUCGAUUUGGCAAUGAGUGCGUUUAAAAUUAAAUUCUGAGCAAGGGGGAAAAUUUUCAUCUCUUUUGGCAGUCAGAAAGGGCUCCGGCACAGCGGCGGGUUGUGGUGGUCUCCUUCCUGGCGGCUAGGUCUUCUUCUCUAACGAGGGAGUCUGGCUACUAGGAUUAGGGUUUGGUGUGGAUGAGGGUUAUUUAUAUCUAUCUGCUUUUGAUAUGAGCCAUCCAUUACGUUUGAUCUGGACCGUCCAAUCGCGAUUAAAUAGGGAAUGAAUUUGGAUUGUUCAUCACGAUCCAAUCUGCGUCAUUCAUCGCGAUCUAAUCUAUACCGUCUGAUCGCGUUCAGAUAUGACCUUCUGAUCGAGUUUGGGGAGGGAACGCAUCUGGGUC